rnacentral:rRNA from 1 species
GGGGAAUAUUGCACAAUGGGGGAAACCCUGAUGCAGCGACGCCGCGUGGAGGAAGAAGGUCUUCGGAUUGUAAACUCCUGUUGUUGGGGAAGAUAAUGACGGUACCCAACAAGGAAGUGACGGCUAACUACGUGCCAGCAGCCGCGGUAAAACGUAGGUCACAAGCGUUGUCCGGAAUUACUGGGUGUAAAGGGAGCGCAGGCGGGAAGACAAGUUGGAAGUGAAAUCUAUGGGCUCAACCCAUAAACUGCUUUCAAAACUGUUUUUCUUGAGUAGUGCAGAGGUAGGCGGAAUUCCCGGUGUAGCGGUGGAAUGCGUAGAUAUCGGGAGGAACACCAGUGGCGAAGGCGGCCUACUGGGCACCAACUGACGCUGAGGCUCGAAAGUGUGGGUAGCAAACAGGAUUAGAUACCCUGGUAGUCCACACCGUAAACGAUGAUUACUAGGUGUUGGAGGAUUGACCCCUUCAGUGCCGCAGUUAACACAAUAAGUAAUCCACCUGGGGAGUACGACCGCAAGGUUGAAACUCAAAGGAAUUGACGGGGGCCCGCACAAGCAGUGGAGUAUGUGGUUUAAUUCGACGCAACGCGAAGAACCUUACCAAGUCUUGACAUCCCUUGACAGGCAUAGAAAUAUGUAAUCUCUUCGGAGCAAGGAGACAGGUGGUGCAUGGUUGUCGUCAGCUCGUGUCGUGAGAUGUUGGGUUAAGUCCCGCAACGAGCGCAACCCUUAUGGUCAGUUACUACGCAAGAGGACUCUGGCCAGACUGCCGUUGACAAAACGGAGGAAGGUGGGGAUGACGUCAAAUCAUCAUGCCCUUUAUGACUUGGGCUACACACGUGCUACAAUGGCGUAAACAAAGGGAAGCGAGCCUGCGAGGGGGAGCAAAUCUCAAAAAUAACGUCUCAGUUCGGACUGCAGUCUGCAACUCGACUGCACGAAGCUGGAAUCGCUAGUAAUCGCGAAUCAGAAUGUCGCGGUGAAUACGUUCCCG